rnacentral:rRNA from 1 species
UUCGNNUGGGCGAAGCCUGACGCAGCGACGCCGCGUGGGGGAUGAAGCUUCUCGGAGUGUAAACCCCUUUCGACCCGGACGAACCCCCGCAAGGGAUUGACGGUACGGGUAUAAGAAGCCCCGGCUAACUACGUGCCAGCAGCCGCGGUAAAACGUAGGGGGCCAGCGUUGCUCGGAAUUACUGGGCGUAAAGGGUCCGUAGGCGGUGUGGCAAGUCGGUAGUGAAAUCUCUCGGCUUAACUGAGAGGCUGCUGCCGAAACUGCCAUGCUCGAGUGCGAGAGAGGCGAGUGGAAUUGCGGGUGUAGCGGUGAAAUGCGUAGAUAUCCGCAGGAACAUCCGAGGGCGAAAGCGGCUCGCUGGAUCACAACUGACGCUGAGGGACGAAAGCUAGGGGAGCAAACAGGAUUAGAUACCCUGGUAGUCCUAGCCCUAAACCAUCAGGACUUGGGGUUUGCCCUGUACGGGGCAAGUCCCGGAGCUAACGCGUUAAGUCCUGCGCCUGGGGAGUACGGUCGCAAGGCUGAAACUCAAAAAAAUUGACGGA